rnacentral:lncRNA from 1 species
CCCUGAGUUCUCAAUUGUGCUGUUUGUUAUUGUCAACAACAGUCAUUCUUAAAAGUGAUCACACAAUUGCCCUGUUUUUCAGAAUUGUGCCUGCUCUUCUUGACUCACGAAAAUACUGCAAAAGAAACUUGCUUUGUCUGCCCUGACUCAGGAGAAAUGCAAGUGGCCACGGAUUUGCUCUGGAGGACUAAGUUGAUAGUAUAAACCUGUGGUUCUCAUAAGUAUCCCCAGGCUGCACUAUCAGCAUCACAUGGAAACAUCUCUCAAAAAGGCAUGUCAGAAACUGUGAGGACAGAACCCAGGAGUCUGCUUCAUAAAGCCUUUCAGGUGAUUCAGAUUUUAGCUGCCAGAGUGAGAUCUUGUAUGAGAGCGGGUAACGGAGGCAUUGUGGGAAAGAAGUAUUCAUUAGGAGACAUUCAGUUCAUCAG